UGGAAGUAAAAGUCGUAACAAGGUUUCCGUAGGUGAACCUGCGGAAGGAUCAUUACCGAGUUUUCGAGCUCCGGCUCGACUCUCCCACCCUUUGUGAACGUACCUCUGUUGCUUUGGCGGCUCCGGCCGCCAAAGGACCUUCAAACUCCAGUCAGUAAACGCAGACGUCUGAUAAACAAGUUAAUAAACUAAAACUUUCAACAACGGAUCUCUUGGUUCUGGCAUCGAUGAAGAACGCAGCGAAAUGCGAUAAGUAAUGUGAAUUGCAGAAUUCAGUGAAUCAUCGAAUCUUUGAACGCACAUUGCGCCCCUUGGUAUUCCGGGGGGCAUGCCUGUUCGAGCGUCAUUACAACCCUCAAGCUCUGCUUGGAAUUGGGCACCGUCCUCACUGCGGACGCGCCUCAAAGACCUCGGCGGUGGCUGUUCAGCCCUCAAGCGUAGUAGAAUACACCUCGCUUUGGAGCGGUUGGCGUCGCCCGCCGGACGAACCUUCUGAACUUUUCUCAAGGUUGACCUCGGAUCAGGUAGGGAUACCCGCUGAACUUAAGCAUAUCAAUAAGCGGAGG
rnacentral:rRNA from 3 species